UGGGGAAUAUUGCACAAUGGGCGCAAGCCUGAUGCAGCCAUGCCGCGUGUGUGAAGAAGGCCUUCGGGUUGUAAAGCACUUUCAGCGGGGAGGAAGGCGGUGAGGUUAAUAACCUCAUCGAUUGACGUUACCCGCAGAAGAAGCACCGGCUAACUCCGUGCCAGCAGCCGCGGUAAUACGGAGGGUGCAAGCGUUAAUCGGAAUUACUGGGCGUAACGCGCACGCAGGCGGUCUGUCAAGUCGGAUGUGAAAUCCCCGGGCUCAACCUGGGAACUGCAUUCGAAACUGGCAGGCUAGAGUCUUGUAGAGGGGGGUAGAAUUCCAGGUGUAGCGGUGAAAUGCGUAGAGAUCUGGAGGAAUACCGGUGGCGAAGGCGGCCCCCUGGACAAAGACUGACGCUCAGGUGCGAAAGCGUGGGGAGCAAACAGG
rnacentral:rRNA from 1 species